rnacentral:rRNA from 1 species
UGAGUAAUGUCUGGGAAACUGCCUGAUGGAGGGGGAUAACUACUGGAAACGGUAGCUAAUACCGCAUAACGUCGCAAGACCAAAGAGGGGGACCUUCGGGCCUCUUGCCAUCAGAUGUGCCCAGAUGGGAUUAGCUAGUAGGUGGGGUAAUGGCUCACCUAGGCGACGAUCCCUAGCUGGUCUGAGAGGAUGACCAGCCACACUGGAACUGAGACACGGUCCAGACUCCUACGGGAGGCAGCAGUGGGGAAUAUUGCACAAUGGGCGCAAGCCUGAUGCAGCCAUGCCGCGUGUGUGAAGAAGGCCUUCGGGCUGUAAAGCACUUUCAGCGAGGAGGAAGGUGGUGAACUUAAUACAUUCAUCAAUUGACGUUACUCGCAGAAGAAGCACCGGCUAACUCCGUGCCAGCAGCCGCGGUAAUACGGAGGGUGCAAGCGUUAAUCGGAAUUACUGGGCGUAAAGCGCACGCAGGCGGUUUGUUAAGUCAGAUGUGAAAUCCCCGGG